rnacentral:piRNA from 1 species
UUCCAAGCCCCAGCGAAAUACCUCUUUAAUGC